CAUACAGGCCCGGCUUAGAGGGUGUGCCCUUGGUGCUAAUGCACAGGGUCCUUUAUUUUUUCAAUCAUUUUCUUUAAGCAAUCAAGUCCCACGUUUUGUUGAGCCGGCCCUGCAUACAUAUAUAAGUAUCUUUUGCAACCGAGAAAGUGAAGAAGACACGGAAGAAAAAAAGGUGAGAAAGAACAAAUUUGAAGUGCGUAAGAAACAAUAUGGAGCCUGGUUUCUUCCAAGUUAGCGUAGCCGUGGGGUCUGUCUUGGCCAUCUUCAUGUCAGCAGCUCUAUAUGUUAUGUUUUACUUAAACCGAACACAAACACAUAUU